rnacentral:misc_RNA from 1 species
GAUGAAGAACGUAGCGAAAUGCGAUAAGUAGUGUGAAUUGCAGAAUUCAGUGAAUCAUCGAAUCUUUGAACGCACAUUGCGCCCCUUGGUAUUCCAUGGGGCAUGCCUGUUCGAGCGUCAUUUGUACCCUCAAGCUUUGCUUGGUGUUGGGUGUUUAUCCUCUCCUUUGCGUUUGGACUCGCCUUAAAGCAAUUGGCAGCCAGUGUUUUGGUAUUGAAGCGCAGCACAAUUUGCGAUUCUAACCGACUACACUUGCGUCCAUAAGCCUUUUUUAACUUUUGACCUCGGAUCAGGUAGGGAUACCCGCUGAACUUAAGCAUAUCAAUAAGCGGAGGA